rnacentral:tRNA from 1 species
GCCCGGAUGGCACAAUGGUACUGCGCUGGUCUCGAAAACCAGUUUCCUUACGGAUUUCCCGGUUCGAUUCCGGGUCUGGGCG